rnacentral:lncRNA from 1 species
AUAAACUCAAAGAAAUCCACAUCAAGACACAUCAUUGUUAAACUUCUGAAAUCUAAACACAAAGAAAAAAAAUCUUGAAAGUAGUGAGAUAAAAGUGACAUCUUACCUAUAAGGGAAAACCUAUUUGAAUGACACAGUAUAUUUCUCAUCAGAAACCAUGGAGACCAGAAGGAAGUGACUCAACAUUUUUCGAGUGCUAAAAGAAAAGUACUGUCAACCCAGAUUCCUUUAUCCAGGGAAACCAGCCUUCAAUAAUGAAGAGGAAAUCAAGACAUUCUCACACGAAGGAAAACUAAGAGAAUUUGUCGCCAGCGGACCUACCUAAAAGAAGGGCAGAAGGAAGUUCUCUAAACAGAAAGGAACCAAUAAAAGAAGGAAUUGUGGAACAUCAGGAAGAAAGAACACAACGAUGCUGCGAUGACCAUCCCGUUGCCCAUCCUUCAGACACCUGCCUGAGAGCUCCCGUUUGUCUACUGCUGCUCAUGCGUGAAGGGCCAGGUGGACGCUCACAAAUCUGGGUUUCCCUGGAGUCAGGCAAUCCUACCUCCCCUACAGGAGGACUGACUGCAGGCUCCGUGUGAGAGGACAGCUACCUCCCUGGGCCGACUGCCCUGCAGCUUCACGGUCAGGGAACAACCAGGGUUGGGAGAACGUUAGGUAUUUCUCUCUCUCAUCCCUUGCUCUGGGGGAAACCAGAUGCCAC